rnacentral:rRNA from 1 species
CGGAGAGCAUGCCUGUUUGAGUAUCAU